GACGAACGCUGGCGGCGUGCCUAACACAUGCAAGUCGAACGGAAAGGCCCUGCUUUUGUGGGGUGCUCGAGUGGCGAACGCGUGAGUAACACGUGAGUAACCUGCACUUGUCUUUGGGAUAACUUCAGGAAACUGGGGCUAAUAUCGGAUAGGAGCUCCUGCUGCAUGGUGGGGGUUGGAAAGUUUCGGCGGUUGGGGAUGGACUGGCGGGUUAUCAGCUUGUUGGUGGGGUAGUGGCUUACCAAGGCUUUGACGGGUAGCCGGCCUGAGAGGGUGACCGGCGUCCUGGGGACUGAGAGACGGCCCAGACGCCUACGGGAGGCAGCAGUGGAGAGUAUUGCACAAUGGGCGGAAGCGUGAUGCGGCGGCGCCGCGUGCGGGAUGACGGCCUUCGGGUUGUAAACCGCUUUCGCCUGUGACGAAGCGUGAGUGACGGUAAUGGGUAAAGAAGCACCGGCUAACUACGUG
rnacentral:rRNA from 1 species